UUAAGUAAAUUAAAUAAUCCGCAGACAGUAGGCAUCCAAAAUAAGACCUGCCGAGGAUAAGAAACAAUUUUUUUUAAGUUGUUUUUAUCAAGUUCUGCAAUUAAAAGCAGAAUUUUUUAUUAGAUGAA
rfam:Parcubacteria (Moranbacteria) bacterium GW2011_GWE1_35_17 TR66_C0001, whole genome shotgun sequence.